rnacentral:rRNA from 1 species
GACGAACGCUGGCGGCGUGCUUAACACAUGCAAGUCGAACGGUAAGGUCCUUCGGGGUACACGAGUGGCGAACGGGUGAGUAACACGUGGGUGAUCUGCCCUGCACUUCGGGAUAAGCCUGGGAAACUGGGUCUAAUACCGGAUAGGACCACUGCCUGCAUGGGUGGUGGUGGAAAGCUUUUGCGGUGUGGGAUGGGCCCGCGGCCUAUCAGCUUGUUGGUGGGGUGAUGGCCUACCAAGGCGACGACGGGUAGCCGGCCUGGGAGGGUGACCGGCCACACUGGGACUGAGAGACGGCCCAGACUCCUACGGGAGGCAGCAGUGGGGAAUAUUGCACAAUGGGCGCAAGCCUGAUGCAGCGACGCCGCGUGAGGGAUGACGGCCUUCGGGUUGUAAACCUCUUUCAGCACCGACGAAGCGCAAGUGACGGUAGGUGCAGAAGAAGGACCGGCCAACUACGUGCCAGCCGCCGCGGUAA